GAUCCUGGCUAAGGAUGAACGCUAGCUACAGGCUUAACACAUGCAAGUCGAGGGGCAGCGGGAUUGAAGCUUGCUUCAAUUGCCGGCGACCGGCGCACGGGUGAGUAACGCGUAUCCAACCUUCCGUACACUCAGGGAUAGCCUUUCGAAAGAAAGAUUAAUACCUGAUGGUAUGAUGAGAUUGCAUGAUAUCAUCAUUAAAGAUUUAUCGGUGUACGAUGGGGAUGCG
rnacentral:rRNA from 1 species